rnacentral:rRNA from 1 species
CUACGUGCCAGCAGCCGCGGUAAUACGGAAGGUCCAGGCGUUAUCCGGAUUUAUUGGGUUUAAAGGGAGCGUAGGCUGGAGAUUAAGUGUGUUGUGAAAUGUAGACGCUCAACGUCUGAAUUGCAGCGCAUACUGGUUUCCUUGAGUACGCACAACGUUGGCGGAAUUCGUCGUGUAGCGGUGAAAUGCUUAGAUAUGACGAAGAACUCCGAUUGCGAAGGCAGCUGACGGGAGCGCAACUGACGCUUAAGCUCGAAGGUGCGGGUAUCAAACAGGAUUAGAUACCCUGGUAGUCCGCACAGUAAACGAUGGAUGCCCGCUGUUGGUACCUGGUAUCAGCGGCUAAGCGAAAGCAUUAAGCAUCCCACCUGGGGAGUACGCCGGCAACGGUGAAACUCAAAGGAAUUGACGGGGGCCCGCACAAGCGGAGGAACAUGUGGUUUAAUUCGAUGAUACGCGAGGAACCUUACCCGGG